ACAGAGGGUGCGAGCGUUGUCCGGAAUCACUGGGCGUAUAGGGCGCGUAGGCGGCUUCUCACGCGUGCGGUGAAAGCUCGGGGCUUAACUCCGAGUCUGCCGUGCGAACGGGGAGGCUUGAGUCUGGUAGAGGUCGAUGGAAUUCCGGGUGUAGCGGUGGAAUGCGUAGAGAUCCGGAAGAACACCGGUGGCGAAGGCGGCCAGCUAGACCAGUUCUGACACUGAGGCGCGACAGCGUGGGGAGCAAACAGGA
rnacentral:rRNA from 1 species